GGAAGCACGGAUAAUCUCGAGCAAGCACGACGGCCAACAAUCCUUUCCCGUAAAUACAUACAUACGUUAUUGUCAUCAAAGUGAGGUCGAUUAACUAAAACAAUACCACGGCUUCCAAAAAUGUAAUGCUCGUCGCGGCAUUAAAGGCUAUAUCGAGAGUGUACAAGUGUUUAUAUGUCACAGUCAGAAGUGACCUAGUUUACAAAUGAAUUUUCGCUUCUGAAUUUUCUUUGGCUAUGACCCUGCAGUGAGUGUUCUUGAAGUCGGUGGUCUCCGUGAGACAGUAGCGAUACUGUCUCGAAAGUGAGUUCAUGGCUGUUUAUAGAAUGCGGAAGAAAGUAAACGAUACCGUUUAAUCUGUUUAGAACGAGAAUUUUUAUGAAAUAUGAGUGUCAUUGUGUUUUCUGCGAAUGAAACAAUUAGGUUACGUUGACAAGAAACACGGUCCUUUACAAGUACUAAACAGCAUAAUAGCAUUUUGUAUGUCUAUGUUCAUUGAGAAACAGCAGUAGAUCAAGAUGAAAUAUGAUUGUUCGAACACUCAUAUGAUGACAUUAAAUAACCACUACACAAUCCUAAUGAAUUAUCUCUUACAAAUUGGAUGUUAUAUAUUUGUACAUAUGAGGAGUGCAUGAAGCAAUUUGCUUACAUUUGCAAAAUGCCGCACAUAACACGAAAAUGGGAACUUUUCCCAGGCAGAAAUCGAUUUUGCUGUGAUGGCAGAGUAAUGAUGGCACCACAAACUGGAGUAUUUUAUGUGACUGUGUGCCUCAUUGCUGGAACAAGUGGAUUAUUUUUUGCUUUUGAUUGUCCAUUCUUAGCAGUUCAUAUAACACCUGCUAUACCAGUUAUUGGUGGUCUGUUAUUUAUUUUUGUAAUGUCUGCUUUGUUUAGAACAAGCUUUAGUGAUCCUGGAGUUAUUCCAAGAGCAACACUCGAUGAAGCUGCCUAUAUUGAAAAACAAAUUGAGGUACCAAACAAUGGUAAUUCUAAAAUGUACAGACCACCACCUCGAACAAAAGAGGUAUUAGUCAAAGGGCAACCAGUAAAGUUGAAAUAUUGUUUUACUUGUAAAAUAUUCAGACCACCAAGAGCUUCACAUUGCAGCUUAUGUGACAAUUGUGUAGAGAGGUUUGAUCAUCAUUGUCCGUGGGUGGGGAAUUGUGUUGGCAGAAGAAAUUACAGAUAUUUUUAUGCCUUUAUUGUGUCCUUGGCAUUUCUUUGUGUUUUUAUAUUUGUAUGUGCUGUUACACAUUUAGUAAUGCUCACAAAAGACGUUAGACCAUUUUUAGACGCAGUAAGGAUAUCUCCUGGAAGUGUUGUUGUAGCAGUUAUAUGUUUUUUCUCUGUAUGGAGUAUUCUUGGUCUCGCUGGUUUUCAUACAUAUUUAACUACUAGCAAUCAGACAACUAACGAGGAUAUAAAGGGGUCAUUUUCAAUUAAAACAGGACAAGAAAGUUUUAAUUUAUAUAGUCAAGGAAAUAUAUGUGGAAAUUGUUUCUAUGUAUUAUGUGGACCAGCACCACCUAGUUUAAUUGAUCGAAGAGGUAUAGUAACACCCGAAUAUCGUGCAGAGCAAGAAAGAGUUAGUGGUGACAAUGUAAUUACUAAUAAUAAAACAUAUGGUACAGUGAAAAUCGUACAACCACAGUCUAAUGGUACAACUGUUCAAACAAAUCCCAGCCCAGAUCUCACAGGUUCCAUGAACAAUCUCGUUUCUGGUCAGCAUUCACCACAAAUUGAAUCAAUAAACGGUGAGUUGAGUCUUCUAAGGCAUACCGCUCAUUAUCCUGAAGAUCUUCCAAAAUAUCCACGUCGAUAUAUUAAUGACAUUUAUGCUCCGGCAUAUCCUCGGCAACAUUGUUUUCAGGAACCUAUGAAACAUGUAAAGUAUGAUACAGAAAUAACAAACCCAGAUUUUCAAAAAUAUCCAUGUAGGUGUGAGGAAAAUUUACAUAAAUAUUCUCAUAGGUGUAGGGAAGAGUAUCAUAGAUGUUCAGAUAAUAAUUUGAUAUAUGAUCAAUGUGUCGGUGAUCAAAAAUAUAGUAUUGAUCUUCAAAAAUAUCCACAAAGAUAUUCUGAGGAUCCUAUACGAUAUAAAAUUGAUGACAAAACCAUUUACACUGAUCUCCAGAAAUUUCCACAAUGCUAUUCUGAAGAUCCAAUACGAAUUUCUCAAUCUCAGCAUACUCUUAAGUAUAAUAACUUGAGAUGCACUGUUCACGGAUUAAAAUAUCCAAUAUCAAAGAACCUCUUGCCAACUGUUGUAAUGUCACGAAUAUUAGGGGCAGGAGGAAUGCCAAUUAUUGGUCAAAAUGCAAUAGGACUUGCAGUUAACAGAUUUGGUUCAGGACCUUUAACUAAUGCUUUUUCUUAUGUAGAAAAUUCUUUAUGUCCAAAUGAUAGCACUGAAGAAGAUCUUUUAAAUCAGAGAUUUAUCAUGAGCUCAAUAAGCGAUAAUGAUGAUAUUUAAUGUUCUUUAUAAGAUAAUUUUCUUUCUCUAUGUUUCUUAAAUAAUAUUACUCCAUCUAUUGAGGAAAAUUAAAUGGCUAUAAUAUACUUGUUAACAAAUUUUUUAGUAUAUUAAAAUCAAAAUAAUAUAAGUUCUAAUUCUAUCCUUUAUUAUUAAUAAAAGCUUAUAUAAAUAAAGUUUUGAUGUAUAUAUAAAUAUUAGUGAAGGUAAUAAUAUCUAAAAUGACAUUUAUAAUAAUAACAAAAGUAAUCAUUAUUAUGAUGAUUGUUCAUGUUUUCUCAUAUUAUAACGUAUAUAGAUCUUUAUAAACAAAGAACAUUCUAGUUGAAUUUGAUUGUUAACAACAGAGAUUUAUUUAUUUUUUGACUGUUCAAUUUGGUAUUGGACAUAUAGAUAUUUUUUUUAAAAAAAGAGAAAGGAGAAAUUAAUAUUCUUGUUAUAAUGUUAUAUAGCCUGACUGAGAAUGGGACUGAAAUAUUAGUUUCAUUACAACUUUUAAUACUUUAUAAUGAUAUACUUUUUAAAAAUACGCGGAUAAUUAAAAUUAUUUGUUUUUACAUUAUAGAGUAUAUUAUAAACAAAUGGUAUAUGAUAUAUUUAAUUCAAAGUCAAUUUUACAAUGUUAAUCUUUAACGUCAAACAAAGAUUAAUUUGAAUAUACAUAUUUGAACCAUCAUCAAGUAUAUAAGAUAAAUUUAAGUUUUUUACCGUUUAGCCGCACUUUUUACAUGAUUCAAUAAAUUGUAUUUCUUUGUUGUUUAAAAAUUACGUCCUGUUAUCGAGGGCUCAGAGCAUACCGUUUGGUAGUACUACAAACAGCGUGAGUCAACUUGUUACCAAUGAAGUACCACUAGCAUCACUUAAUAUAGCUCCAAUUGAUAUUGAUGAAAUCGCUCCGCUGCCUUCCCGUCAAAGUGUUGUGGUUUCAUCCACGUUAGAUACGUCCUCUAUACCUUCGGUAACUGUAACAACACCUUUGUCUGCAUCUAGACUUAGAUUAUUACAAGAUACUACCAUGA